AAGAUUUUAGUUUAUGUUAAAAUAAUUUAUUUACAAUAAAUAGAAUAAUUAAAAAAAUUUUA
rnacentral:tRNA from 2 species